GCUCGGUAGCUUAGUUGGUAAAGCACUCGUCUAGCAUACAAGAGUCCUGGGUUCAAAUCCCAGGCGAGCA
rnacentral:tRNA from 1 species